UACAGAGGUCCCGAGCGUUGUCCGGAAUUAUUGGGCGUAAAGAGCUCGUAGGCGGUGUGUCGCGUCGGCCGUGAAAACCUGUGGCUUAACUAUGGGCUUGCGGUCGAUACGGGCAUCACUGGAGUUCGGCAGGGGAGACUGGAAUUCCUGGUGUAGCGGUGAAAUGCGCAGAUAUCAGGAGGAACACCGGUGGCGAAGGCGCCGCUCUGGGCCGAAACUGACGCUGAGGAGCGAAAGCGUGGGGAGCGAACAGG
rnacentral:rRNA from 1 species